AAGAAUCACUUGAACCUGGGAGGUGGAGGUUGCAGUGAGCUGAGAUCACGCCAUUGCACUCCAGCCUGGGCGACAAGAGGGAAACUCCAUCUCAAAAAAAAAAAAAAAAAAGUUAACAAACAGAAAAGAUGCCGCUCAUUCUCAAGUCCAUCCUAAAAGAUAUGUUCAUGAUGCAGCGUUGCAGUAAUCUCAUCCCAGAAUGGCACAACCCAGUGGAAGGAGGUGGAAAUGGAAGAGAGGCCAGGAGGCAAAGAGGAGGAGCUAGGAGAUGUGGGGCUCUCUGAGCCAUGAGGAAAGUGGGAAGUCACUGCGUGGAUUCUCCUCAUCUGUAAAAUGGGGGUGCUCCUGCCUGCCUCCUGGGGUUGAGGCAGGAAUCAGGUGAGAA
rnacentral:lncRNA from 1 species